rnacentral:rRNA from 1 species
AUUGAACGCUGGCGGCAGGCCUAACACAUGCAAGUCGAACGAGUGGCGGCGGGUGAGUAAUGUCUGGGGAACCGCCCCAUGGAGGGGGGUAACUACUGGGAACCGUAGCUCAUAACCCAUUCCCUCGGGUGUGCCCCGAUGGGAUUAGCUAGUAGGUGGGGUAACGGCUCACAUAGGCGACGAUCCCUAGCUGGUCUGAGAGGAUGACCAGCCACACUGGAACUGAGACACGGUCCAGACUCCUACGGGAGGCAGCAGUGGGGAAUAUUGCACAAUGGGCGCAAGCCUGAUGCAGCCAUGCCGCGUGUAUGAAGAAGGCCUUCGGGUUGUAAAGUACUUUCAGCGAGGAGGCGUUACUCGCAGAAGAAGCACCGGCUAACUCCGUGCCAGCAGCCGCGGUAAUUC